rnacentral:rRNA from 1 species
GACGGACGCUGGCGGCGUGCUUAACACAUGCAAGUCGAACGGAAAGGCCUGCUUUCCCUUGUGGAUUGCGGGUACUCGAGUGGCGAACGGGUGAGUAACACGUGAGUGAUCUGCCCCCAACUUGGGUAUAAGCCUGGGAAACUGGGUCUAAUUCCCGAUAGGACUGCAGGGUGGUGCCUGUGGUGGAAAACGAUUUUCUAGUGGUUGGGGAUGAGCUCGCGGCCUAUCAGCUUGUUGGUGGGGUAAUGGCCUACCAAGGCGGCGACGGGUAGCCGGCCUGAGAGGGUGGACGGCCACAUUGGGACUGAGAUACGGCCCAGACUCCUACGGGAGGCAGCAGUGGGGAAUAUUGCACAAUGGGCGGAAGCCUGAUGCAGCGACGCCGCGUGGGGGAUGACGGCCUUCGGGUUGUAAACUCCUUUCGACCGCGAGGAAGCCACCUGGUUGGAAGGGUGGUGACGGUAGUGGUAGAAGAAGCACCGGCUAACUACGUG